GGCAUGUGAACCGCGUGUCAUUUGAAAUAUAAGGCACAGCGAAACGCAAUGGAGUCGACCCGCAUAUCUUGUGUUUGGUUUGGUUGGUGUUUGGUUAGUUAUUUGCGAGUGUUUAAAAGAUGGAACCAGCGACAAAAAGUGAAGUGUCUCUUGUACUCAAGAGAGCUGCGGUACAGUGGGAAUACCUCAGCCAUGCUUUGCAUCAGGACACCGUCCGUGUCAGCUGGUUCAAGCUCUGGUGAGAAGUCUGAUAUAACACAGGCAUUGAUUGCCUGUGUUAUAUCAGACUGUGGAGGAUUGUCUGCCAUUCUCUAUUGUAGAUGGGAGUGGGUUCAAAAAAUUCGUGAAAUCACUGAACCCAUCUUAUGUACCCCCUACUCACCAGGUGUGAAUUUAAAUAUAUGGUGGUUCUACUAUUGCUUGUGAAUUGUAUUUAUUGCUUUGAUUUUCAUCUUGUAUUUAGGCCCUGAAAGCGAUGGUGGAAAAAAAUAUAUGAUGAUUGGAAGGAGAAGGCUAAAGCCGUUGUAAUGAAAGCAUCAUCAGUGAGCCUUACUUCAGACAUGUGGACCUCCAUCCACACUGAUUCAUUCCUUGCUGUCACUGGCCAUUUUGUCGAUGAAAAUAUCAUGUUACAGUCUGUUGUGUUAGAUGUUACGCACUUUCCACAAUCACACACUGCCAUAAAUUUGGCCAGUGUAAAAAAAGACCUUUUUGUACAGUGGGGCAUCAGUAACAACGUCACCUGCCUAGUCACAGAUGGCGCUGCCAAUAUGAGUGCAUACGCUAACGAAAUGGGAGUUCGCCAUGUCAUCUGUGUGGCACAUCAUUAAAUCUGAUUGUCAAAAAACCACUUAAAUCUAACGAAGAACUAUCAGAAAUAAGGGACAAAAGGAGGAAGAGCGUUGGAUAUUUCAAGAGCAGCACUACUGCAAAAGUAAAAUGUUUUUUCCCCAUCUUUGUCUCUCUCACACACACGUGUAUAUGUAUGGAUAAAUAAGAAUAAUUUGCUCUACUAGUAGGAGAGACUAUCGCAGGUUCAACUGCAAAUGGGUCGGCCUGUUUUCAAACUGAUCCAGGAUGUGGAGACACGGAAUAGUACAUUUAAUAUGCUCCAGAGACUUUUUCACGAAAGGGAACCGGUUGGUGCAGCCCUGGCUGGCUUGAAUAAUGACAUUGAUCCUCUUUCUUCCCAGCAUCGCAACAUAAUUUCUUUAAGGGUUCUGCCACUGUUCAAUGAUGCAACAAUUGAGUUAUCAGAAGAAAAGUGUGUGUCUGGGUCUAAAGUCAUCCCUAUGCUGGCCAUGCUCCAUCAUGCUCUGGAAGCAGCGGAAAUAAUUGUGGGCACUCCAGAGGGCAUGGCAUUAGUGGGGUGUCUAAAAAAAAACAGCUAAAAGAAAAACUUUUCAAUUUGCAAUCUCAAAGAAUUUUAUCUCUCACCACUAUACUGGAGCCAAGAUUUAAAAAACUAGGUUUUUUCAGUCCACACAAAGCUGCUGAGGCAGAAAGACGACUGACCCCUGAAUGUGCUUCAGCCCCUACUUCAGCUUCAUCAUUGCCAUCUGAAGUUUCACAGUCACAAACACGAGGUAAUGUAUAUGGUAUAUGAAGAUUUAUUUUUCUAUAUAGUGACUUAGACUGUUUUUAUCUCUCACGAAGCAAACUGCAGCAUCGCCUAGACAGAUCCAUUCAGCAAAGUAUAACUCCCACAUCUACAUCACUGACAGUAAGUGCAACAAUCGAAGUACAGAAAUACCUGGCAGAACCAAACAUAGACAGACAGGAGGACCCACUGCAGUACUGGAGAACAUAAAGAAAUCCAUUCAUCCAUUUUCUGAGCCGCUUCUCCUCACUAGGGUCGCGGGCGUGCUGGUACACCCUGAACUGGUUGCCAGCCAA